UUUUCUUUUUUUUCUAUUUCUAUUCUCUUCUCUAGUUCAAGUUUACAAUAUUCAAUUCAAAUUCAAAUUUCCUUUCUCAUUUCAAUCCUAAGUUUGAUUCUGAAUUUCAAGCAUAUAUUUGAUGCAUCAAACAGAAAUCACAGCAUGACAAUGCAAGUAUAAAUUAUAUAUUUAUUUAUAUUGGUUACUUUGUCCAUGCCAAAAAA
rnacentral:lncRNA from 7 species